GACGAACGCUGGCGGCGUGCUUAACACAUGCAAGUCGAACGGAAAGGCCCUGCUUUUGUGGGGUGCUCGAGUGGCGAACGGGUGAGUAACACGUGAGUAACCUGCCCUUGACUUUGGGAUAACUUCAGGAAACUGGGGCUAAUACCGGAUAGGAGCUCCUGCUGCAUGGUGGGGGUUGGAAAGUUUCGGCGGUUGGGGAUGGACUCGCGGCUUAUCAGCUUGUUGGUGGGGUAGUGGCUUACCAAGGCUUUGACGGGUAGCCGGCCUGAGAGGGUGACCGGCCACACGGGAGCGGAGACGCGGUACGGGCACCUGCGGGAGGCGGGAGUAGGGAAUGUUCCGCAAUGGGCGAAAGGCUGACGGAGCGACGCCGCGUGGGAGACGAAGGUCGUCGGAUCGUAAAGCUGUGUGAUUAGGGAAGAACAAAUGUGGAAGUAACUAUGCACGUCUGGACGGUACCUAAUCAGAGAGCCACGGCUAACUACGUG
rnacentral:rRNA from 1 species